rnacentral:rRNA from 1 species
AACGCGAAGAACCUUACAGAUACCCUGGUAUUCCACGUCGUAAACGAUGUCUACUUGGAGGUUGUGCCCUUGAGGCGUGGCUUCCGGAGCUAAAGCGUUAAGUCGACCUCCUGGGGAGUACGACCUCAAGGUUAAAACUCAAAUGAAUUGACGGGGGCAGCACAAGCGGUGGAGCAUGAGUUUAAUUCGAUGCAACGCGAAGAACCUUACCUGGUCUUGACAUCCACGGUAGAAUCCAGAGAUGGAUUUGUGCCUUCGGGAGCCGUGAGACAGGUGCUGCAUGGCUGUCGUCAGCUCGUGUUGUGAAAUGUUGGGUUAAGUCUCGCAACGAGCGCAACCCUUAUCCUUUGUUGCCAGCGGUCCGGUCGGGAACUCAAAUGAGACUGCCAGUGAUAAACUGGAGGAAGGUGGGGAUGAGGGUCUUGUACACACCG